UACGUAGGGGGCAAGCGUUAUCCGGAUUUACUGGGUGUAAAGGGAGCGUAGACGGAAUUGCAAGUCUGAUGUGAAAAUCCGGGGCCCAACCCCGGAACUGCAUUGGAAACUGUAUUUCUAGAGUGUCGGAGAGGCAAGUGGAAUUCCUGGUGUAGCGGUGAAAUGCGUAGAUAUCAGGAGGAACACCAGUGGCGGAGGCGGCUUGCUGGACGAUGACUGACGUUGAGGCUCGAAAGCGUGGGGAGCAAACAGG
rnacentral:rRNA from 1 species